rnacentral:lncRNA from 1 species
CGGGGCUGAGCUGCGGGGUGGGCUGGGGGCCAAACGAGGAGCCCCGGGGCGAGGAGCGAGCUGGGGGUCGGAGGGCAUAUUAUGAAUCACCUAAUGCUUCAAAGAAAAAAAAUGUUUUAAAUUCCCAAGUUAACAAGAAAGAGCCUUCACCCACCCACCUUGGGAAACCUGAAGAUUAAGACUAUUUGGUGCAGAGUAGCAGAUGUACCUUCCCUCUGGUGUGCCGGGUGACUCUUCUGUUUCACGGUCCCAGUUGUCUGUGGGCAAACACACAAAUUAAAAAGAGGAGGAGGGGGCUGUGUGCCCUGCUUGGGCAGGCUCUGCACAGCUCUGGGUAGCUGUGGAGGAUGCAGGUAGGCAAGCAGAUACAGAAAUCUCCUGGGAGGCAAAUCUGUGUGUGAGAAUCCUUUCCCA